CGUAGGGCGCAAGCGUUGUCCGGAAUUAUUGGGCGUAAAGAGCUCGUAGGCGGUGUGUCGCGUCGGAUGUGAAAGCCCGGGGCUUAACCCCGGGUCUGCAUUCGAUACGGGCAGACUGGAGUGUGGUAGGGGAGAUCGGAAUUCCUGGUGUAGCGGUGAAAUGCGCAGAUAUCAGGAGGAACACCGGUGGCGAAGGCGGAUCUCUGGGCCAUUACUGACGCUGAGGAGCGAAAGCGUGGGGAGCGAACAGG
rnacentral:rRNA from 1 species